rfam:Pseudomonas sp. VI4.1 NODE_2_length_262271_cov_37.1556, whole genome shotgun sequence.
CUUCUUCGAUCUGCUGCGGGCAGAUGAAGUGGAUAUGGGUGUCGAUGCCGCCAGCGGUGAGGAUCAUGCCUUCACCGGCGAUCACUUCGGUGCUGGCGCCGAUCGCGAUGGUGACGCCGGGCUGGAUGUCCGGGUUGCCGGCCUUGCCGAUGCCGGCGAUGCGCCCGUCCUUGAGGCCGACGUCGGCCUUGACGAUGCCCCAGUGAUCGAUGAUCAGCGCGUUGGUGAUCAGGGUGUCGACCACUUCGGCGGCCAAUAAUUGACUUUGGCCCUGGCCGUCGCGGAUG